CGACCACUCGGGUUCGGCUAUGCGGGAGCCGUGAGGAGGAGGCUUGCAGUCGUGGACCUGAGACCUCGGGAGGUCAUGCUGGCUUGCUUUUAAGUGGCUUGGGGAAAGUGAAGAAACCCCAAAAUGGAGGACUUUGCUACCAGGACCUACGGCACCAGUGGCCUGGACAACAGACCUCUGUUUGGGGAGACGUCCGCCAAGGAUCGAAUCAUCAAUUUAGUUGUUGGCAGCUUAACAUCCUUAUUGAUUCUAGUAAGUAUCCUCAUUUUGUGCCUCACCCAGGCUCUUAGCCAAAGUUUUGAAAACUUUAUCAAUUAUGGUUAACUUUCCAAAAAAAAAAAAAAGCUAAAUAAGUGCUUUUAACUUUAUUACCACAAAAUUGCAGUUGCUAAUUGGAGUAGCUAAUGUAAUUCUGCCCCACCCCCAGGUUGAAUAUGUGAAAUGGUGCAAGUCAGACAACUUGGUUUUAAGAUAGAGUUUACCAUGUUUUACCUAGUAAAUUUGUAAAAAUGUCAGUGGCUAGUAGCCACUUCCUUCUGUCAUCUACCAUAAUUCCCCAUUUCUAUUAAUUUUGUUCCUAAAGAACAUAUCCAUUACCCUUUGGUCAAGUUUUAAAAGAUUUGGUCACAGUGUAUAGUAGUUUUACUGUAUACAUCCUGUAUACAGUAUACAUCUGGGAGCUAUUACAAUAAAAUUUUUAAAAGCUGUAUUUUCCAUAGUUUGACAUUUUUCUGGCACAUUAAAUUUAAGAGAAUUUUUUUUCCAUGGCUUCUUAAUGAAAAGAUUGCAUAUAAUGCUGCAUUUGUUAGAAACAGAACUACACAAUAUUAGAAAAGUCUUUCAGUGUGUUUCAUAAUGUUAUAGCAAAACCAGCUUUGAUUAUAUUCAUUUUGCUAGAAAUAUUUAAAAUAACAAAAUGGCUAGAACUUUUUCCAGCAGAAUCAUUAAUCCUGGGAGUGAGGUUUAGUUAAUGAAGUUAUUUUGGGAUCAGCUAGUAUUACUGAUGUUUUCUCUCCUUUCAUAAGGGAAAGGUUAGAAAA
rnacentral:sRNA from 1 species